GGGCCCGUAGCUCAGCCUGGAUAGAGCGGCAGUCCCGAGCUGUAGGUCCGGGGUUCGAAUCCCCGCGGGCCCGCCA
rnacentral:tRNA from 4 species